rnacentral:misc_RNA from 1 species
AACGCACAUUGCGCCCGCCAGCACUCUGGCGGGCAUGCCUGUCCGAGCGUCAUUUCAACCCUCGGGCCCCGCUUAGGCGCGGGCCCGGCGUUGGGGACCGGCCCUGCAAGGGGCCGCCCCCGAAAUCGAGUGGCGGUCUCGCCGUAGGCUCCUCUGCGUAGUAGAACACACCUCGCACCGGAUCGCGGCGCGGCCAUGCCGUAAAACCCCCGACCAUCUUCAAGGUUGACCUCGGAUCAGGUAGGAAUACCCGCUGAACUUAA